ACCUGCGGAAGGAUCAUUAUUGAAUAAACUUGAUGUGGUUGAGCUGACUCUUUCGGGAGUAUGUGCUCGCUCGUCAUCUUUAUCUUUCCACCUGUGCACUUUUUGUAGAUUUGGAUGUAACUGUCCGAGGCAACUCGGUUGGGAGGAAUGCUAUCUUUGAUGGCUUUCCUUGUAUGUCCAAGUCUAUGUCUUCAUAUACUCCAAGUAUGUAACAGAAUGUAUCACUGGGCCUUGUGCCUAUAAACUAUAUACAACUUUCAGCAACGGAUCUCUUGGCUCUCGCAUCGAUGAAGAACGCAGCGAAAUGCGAUAAGUAAUGUGAAUUGCAGAAUUCAGUGAAUCAUCGAAUCUUUGAACGCACCUUGCGCCCCUUGGUAUUCCGAGGGGCAUGCCUGUUUGAGUGUCAUUAAAUUCUCAACCUUACUAGCUUUUGCGAAGUAAUGGCUUGGACUUGGGGGUCUUUUGCUGGUUUCGAAAGAGAUCUGCUCCCCUUAAAUGUAUUAGCCGGUGCCCCGCGUGGACUGUCUAUUGGUGUGAUAAUUAUCUACGCCGUUAGAUGUCUGCUAUUAAAUGGGAUGUGCUGCUUCUAAUCGUCCUCAGGACAAUUAUUGACCAUUUGACCUCAAAUCAGGUAGGACUACCCGCUGAACUUAAGCAUAUCAAUAAGCGGAGGAAAAGAAACUAACAAGGAUUCCCCUAGUAACUGCGAGUGAAGCGGGAAAAGCUCAAAUUUAAAAGCUGGCAGUCUUUGAUUGUCCGCGUUGUAAUCUAGAGAAGUGUUACCCGCGUUGGACCGUGUACAAGUCUCCUGGAAUGGAGCGUCAUAGAGGGUGACAAUCCCGUCUUUGACACGGACUCCCAAGGCUUUGUGGUGCGCUCUCAAAGAGUCGCGUUGUUUGGGAAUGCAGCGCAAAAUGGGUGGUAAAUUCCAUCUAAAGCUAAAUAUUGGCGAGAGACCGAUAGCGAACAAGUACCGUGAGGGAAAGAUGAAAAGAACUUUGGAAAGAGAGUUAAACAGUACGUGAAAUUGCUGAAAGGGAAACGCUUGAAGUCAGUCGCGUCGUCCGGAGAUCAACCUUGCUUUUGCUGGGCGUACUCUCCGGUUGACGGGCCAGCAUCAGUUUUGACCAUUGGAAAAGGGCAGAGGGAAUGUGGCAUCUUCGGAUGUGUUAUAGCCUUCUGUCGUAUACAGUGGUUGGGACUGAGGAACUCAGCACGCCGCAAGGCGGGGAUUCGUCCACCUUCGUGCUUAGGAUGCUGGCAUAAUGGCUUUAAUCGACCCGUCUUGAAACACGGACCAAGGAGUCUAACAUGCCUGCGAGUGUUUGGGUGGAAAACCCGAGCGCGUAAUGAAAGUGAAAGUUGAGAUCCCUGUCGUGGGGAGCAUCGACGCCCGGACCAGACCUUUUGUGACGGAUCUGCGGUAGAGCAUGUAUGUUGGGACCCGAAAGAUGGUGAACUAUGCCUGAAUAGGGUGAAGCCAGAGGAAACUCUGGUGGAGGCUCGUAGCGAUUCUGACGUGCAAAUCGAUCGUCAAAUUUGGGUAUAGGGGCGAAAGACUAAUCGAACCAUCUAGUAGCUGGUUCCUGCCGAAGUUUCCCUCAGGAUAGCAGAAACUCAUAUCAGAUUUAUGUGGUAAAGCGAAUGAUUAGAGGCCUUGGGGUUGAAACAA
rnacentral:sRNA from 1 species